ensembl:snRNA U6 U6 spliceosomal RNA
GAGCUCACUUUGACAACACAUAUAUUAAAAUUAGAAUAAUACAGAGAAUAUUAGCAUGGCCUCUGCAAAAAGAUUACACACAAAUUCGUGGAGCAGUCCAUAUUUUU